rnacentral:rRNA from 1 species
AGCAGCCGCGGUAAUUCCAGCUCCAAUGGUGUAUAUUAAAGUUGUUGCAGUUAAAAAGCUCGUAGUUGAACUUCGGGGUUUACUCAUUGGUCAGGCUUAAUUGUCUGUACUGGUGAGAUGAGUCUCUACCUUCUGAGGAACUUUCAUGCCAUUUAUUUGGUGUGGUUGGAAAUCAGGACUGUUACUUUGAAAAAAUUGAGUGUUUAAAGCAGGCUAACGUCUGAAUACAUUAGCAUGGAAUAAUGAAAUAGGACGGAUUGAUUCUAUUUCGUCGGUUUCUAGGGUCACCGUAAUGAUUAAUAGGGAUAGUUGGGGGCAUUAGUAUUCAAUUGUCAGAGGUGAAAUUCUUGGAUUUAUUGAAGACUAACUACUGCGUAAAGCAUUUGCCUAAGGAUGUUUUCAUUAAUCUAAGAACGAAAGUUAGGGAUCGAAGACGAUCAGAUACCGUCGUAGUCUUAACCAUAAACCUAUGCCGACUAGGGAUCGGACGAAGUUAAUUAUAAUUGACGUCGUUCGGCUA